GCGGGGGUACCCGAGCACGGUCUAAGGGGCAGGACUGAGGCUCCUGUGGUGUAGACCUUCGUGGGUUCAAAUCCCACCCCCCGCACCA
rnacentral:tRNA from 1 species